rnacentral:snRNA from 1 species
AUACUUACGUGGACAUAGUCAAUGGAUGACCAUUAAGGCCCAUGGCAUAGGUUGGUGACCUCCAUAGCACUUUGGAGGGGUGCCCGCCUAAGGUCAGCUUAGUUCUUGC